CAAAAUACCCCAGACCCAUUUCCCCCUCUCAUUUCCAAACACCCCCCCUGUUCAGUUGUCUCUUUCAGAGAGACCAAACGACCAAAAACCCUAAUAGCCGCCAUCAUACUCCAUCGCCUGAAACCCGGAAAACAGUGCUCCGUUCACCCCCAAAUUCACACCCCAGCUUCCCCACGACCCCUAAACCUAACCCCUCUAACCGUUCCCCUCGAAUCCUAAUCAGGGCCUUCGAAUCUUCAAUCAAAGAUUGACCAAAAAACCUUAACUAAUCCAAUCGAUUCCAGGCUAACACCCAACGUCCACCUGACUUUCCUCGUCCCUAUACCACCCCUAGUUCCCCUCGAAUCAAACCGUAGUUUGUCGAAUCUCAAUUCGAGUGAACGAACGUUGAGUUCUCAGAUCAAGAGCCUGUAUUGAAGAUUUGAGGCCGAAAUAGGUUUUAUUGGUGUGUUCUCGUUUGAGAACUCGUGAUUAAGACCUAUUCCGACCAAAAAGCAAAAGAUGCCGGAUUUGGUUCAAAUUGAGCUGGUCGUUCAUCUUAGGUAUUUCCCAUUUCCAUUUGGAGUUUGUUAUUUAGCUUUCAUUUUCCUCAUUUUUGGUCUUCUCUGUUCUCUGUUUCAUCUUUUUUUUAUGUGUCUUUUCGGAUUAAUUUCCUGUCACGUCAAUUUGCUUUGGUUUGGUAAUUGGUGUUGACUCGUUUAUUUUAGUCAAUUAUUGAAGCUACGCAGUUUGUCGAUUUGUUAGAACAUUUCUGAUUUUGCAAUCGAUAAAUUAAGUUUGCCCGUUUGCUAAAAUUAAGGAUUAGUUUAUCAUAAUGUUUGAAUCGCUUAGUCGGUCGUCACAUUGUUUUGAAUUGCUUGGUCAGUUGAAAUGCUUUGAAAAUACAUGAACUUUGUUUUGGUUGUCACCUGAACCUACUGUGUCAUUCCCUGUAAGGGUGUUCUGAAUCAUUAAAAUCACGGGCCUUUAUUUUAUUGCUCUUUGAUUCAACCUGGUUCAAGCUUAAGCUAUUGUUAAGUUUGAUUAAUUGAAUCCUACUGUUUAGGGUAUGAAAUGAAUCUGACAUUGGUUUGAAUUUAGUGUUGGUAUGAUAAUGUUAAUUAGAUAGUAGUGAGUUAUAAGGUUGCAUUCAGAACUUAGGAGAAUUGGUUAUAGCUGCAGUCACAGGGUCUUCAGGGGUAUUUUGGGGGUUUAAAAGUUUGGCAAAUGGUCUUGCUAAGUGGGCUGUCAGUAAAGCACUCAAUUAACAUUAAACUAAUGCAUUUGUUUAGUGCUAAUGGGGAACAAAGCAUAAUGGUGUGGGGAGGCUUAAAAAGACUUGAUUAAAAUAUAGCAUUGCCCAUACACCUUUAAAACUAAACAAUGAAAUUAGACACUUAGUAGUGGUUGUCAGGGAAUAUGAUAGGAGACACACAUUUCUUAAUUCUGCCUAGUGUGAAAACAGGCUGGAAAAGGGGUCUAUCUUAGGGUAUAAAAGAGGGCAGACCUGAGAUAACAAGGGGGAUUUUUUUGGAAAAGAAUCAGAAAAUAGAGAGUUCCUUUGAAAGGCAGUCUGGUUUAGUGUUGUCAAAGUUUUAGAAAGUUUUUCUAGUUUAGUUUCGAGCGUAGUGUGGUACCGUCAGGUCUGUUUGGGUAUCUACUGUUGUUGUUGUUCUACAAUUCAUUCCGGGUUUAAAUUUGAGUGUGUUGAGUUCAUUUCUGGGUUAAGACUGGUUUGUUGUUGCUAUUUGAGUUCUGGCUGCUGAUACCCGUUGAAAAUUAUUGCUGAUUCCUGUUGCUACUACUGUAAAAUUACUGAUCUCUUUCUUCUCCUUUGUUUCACUGCAAGCCCAGGUACACUUUCGCGUUCAUCAUAAUGUACAUUGAAAGUUGAGAAGUGGAACGAAAAUGAAGCAUGUUUGAUUACAGAAUUGACUACUUUUGAUUUUUAUUUCUAUAUGAUUCGUUGUAAUGAAGUACAACUGGACUGUUUGGACUAUUAAUUUGUAUUGGAACGUUAAUAUUCAGUAGCUUAGCAUGAUUGCAUGGGA
rnacentral:lncRNA from 1 species